rnacentral:lncRNA from 1 species
AAAAUUUGGGUUCUAUGGGUAUUUUUGAAAGAAAAAUAAAAAAUCGGAGGUCAAAACGUAAUUUAAAAAAAUUAUACCACGUCAGCUGCCCGGUCAGCAGCCUCGGCCAACCAGGACGCGUCAGGUGGUAGAGACAUUGACGCAGGAGGCCACGCGGAAGGGAGCCACGUAGGCGAUCCGCGUGCGCGAGAUCAAAUAACUGAGAUCCGUUUCCGUGCGUACGAACGACCCAUAUUAAAAAUGCGCACGGACGGCCCAGAUUGAAUCGCGAUGAACGACUCAUAUUCAUUUCUUAUUUAAUCGCGAUCAGACGGUCCAGAUUAAAUGCGAUGGACGGCUUAUAUCAAAAGCGGAUGAUUAUAAAUAAUCUCAUCCGCACCCAAACCCUAACCCUAGUUGCCAGAGCUCUUCGCCGGAGAAGAUAGCCCAACCGCCGGGGAGCCGAUCGCCGCUACCUGUCGCCGUA